UUUUAUUUUUAAAAUUAAAAUUAAAAUUUGUAAAUUUUAAAAAUUUAUAAUUUGUAAUUUGUAAAUUAAAAUUUAUAUUAAGAGUUUGUUUCCAUCCCUAUUUUUAUUUUUAAAAUCUAAAAUUUAAAAUUUUUAUUUUUAUUUUUAUUUUUAAAAAAUUUAUAAUUUGUAAUUUCACAAUUAAAAUUUAUAAUUUUAAAUUUAAUAUUUCAAAAUUUUUAAUUUUUAAAUUUGAUAUUUUAUAUUUUCAAAUUUAAAUUUGAUCUUAAAUUUAAAAUUUAAAAUUUGAGAUUUGAAAUUUUAAUUUUAGAUUUUAAAAUUUAAAAGUUAAAUUUUAAAUUUAAAAAUAUAAAUUUAAAGUUUAAAAAUUCAAAUUCAAAUAUAAUUAGAGAGGUAAUACCAUUAUUUUCUAUUUAUAACUAGUUAUUAUUCUUCUUAUUCAAUCUUAUUUAUCCAAAUACAAUUUUUCUUAAUUUCGAAAACAACCUAAUUUUCAUCCAAACGCAAAGUUUGUCUAAUUCUUACUUAUACCUAAGCUUUUAUCUAUUACUGAAAUAAGCAGUUAUUGCUUAUAUCCGAACCAAACGAAGCCUUUGAAUAUUUCUACUUUGUAUGUGAUAGUUCCUUAACUAGUACUACUUAUAU
rnacentral:lncRNA from 1 species